CAACGCCUCACCGAAGCCUCGCUGCAGCUCUCCGUUUAUUUUUUCAGUUAGCAGAAAUGACCGAGGAAGGAACAUUUCAGAAAAGCUUCUUAUGUGACACACUGGGAAAAUAAGCAUUCACACGCUGCCAAGACUGGAAGGUUGAGCCUGUAGAGAACUGGACUGCUGGGGAGGUCACAGAUUUAUGAUCUGACAUCAGUUCUGUCGUGGGUUACCUCCUAGUGAAGAGAAAAGUGCUCCAAUCCUCUGAUAAUCUUCAUGGCUCACCUCUGGGCCCGCUCCAACAGCUCCACAUCUCUUCUGUGCUGGAGGCCCCCACCUCUGGGCCCGCUCCAACAGCUCCACAUCUCUUCUGUGCUGGAGGCCCCCACCUCUGGGCCUGCUCCAACAGCUCCACAUCUCUUCUGUGCUGGAGGCCCCAGACCUGGAUGCAGUACUCCAGAUGAGUCCUCAUGAGGACGGAACAGAGGAGGACAAUCACCUCCCUCUCCCUGCUGGCCACCCCUAUUUUGACACAGCCCAGGAUACUGUUGGCUUUCCAGGCUACAAGAACACACUACUGGUUUGUGUUGAGCUUUUCAUCCACCAGCACCUCCAAGUCCUUUUCCUCAAGGCUGCUCUCAGUGGGCACACAGAUAUGUGAUCAACACCGGAAUGGUAAAGACUCUGGCACUUUGCACUUCUGUUCUUGUUGCUGCCCUUAGCUUGUUUGUCUACUUGGACCACAGACUGUGCAAGUGAGGGACUUAGUCCAACAUGCGUUGGAAGAACAAAAUGUGGUGAAAGCUGAGUACUGGGAAUUUGCAAGUAGCAGUGAAGGCUGGGAACUGGAAACUUGCCGGUCACUGUUGAAAGUCGGUGAUCUGAUGAUCACUGAAGCUAAGGGCUAUCAAAAGCAUGGAAUGGCAACUGGAGAAUGAAUAGGAAGGAUCCCUUGCUUAUGUUAUGCCUGACACUGAGGAACUAAUGGAAUGCUGGGUCGUAUGACAGUACCUACAGUAUGUCAUUGUAAAAAAAAAAAAAUGUUUACCAAAAAAAAAAAAAAAUCCAUUAAAAUGAUUCAAACGUUGUGUGAUGAAAAAGGUAAAGAGUUACCCUGCUUAUUUUAUAGAAAAGGUAAAGAAUGGGCUUGGUCAGUCAGUCUAGAAGUGCGUAGGUGUGGAGAAGACACUUGCUAGCAGUAAUUUGUUCAACCUGGCAAAUGUACAGCAAGAGCCAAAGGCUUGCUGAACAAAAGCAG
rnacentral:lncRNA from 1 species